rnacentral:rRNA from 1 species
CCUACGGGAGGCAGCAGUGGGGAAUAUUGGACAAUGGGCGAAAGCCUGAUACAGCCAUGCCGCGUGUGUGAAGAAGGCCUUCGGGUUGUAAAGCACUUUCAGUGGGGAAGAAAGCCUUGGGGCUAAUACCCUCGAGGAAGGACAUCACCCACAGAAGAAGCACCGGCUAACUCCGUGCCAGCAGCCGCGGUAAUACGGAGGGUGCGAGCGUUAAUCGGAAUUACUGGGCGUAAAGCGCGCGUAGGCGGUCUGAUAAGCCGGUUGUGAAAGCCCCGGGCUCAACCUGGGAACGGCAUCCGGAACUGGCAGGCUAGAGUGCAGGAGAGGAAGGUAGAAAUCCCGGUGUAGCGGUGAAAUGCGUAGAGAUCGGGAGGAAUACCAGUGGCGAAGGCGGCCUUCUGGACUGACACUGACGCUGAGGUGCGAAAGCGUGGGUAGCAAACAGGAUUAGAUACCCUGGGUAGUC